UGGACACAUGAGUCUGCGCGUGCGUGGGAGCCUCGUCCUUUAUCUGUGCGCUGCCUUGUAUACCUGUGGAAACUGUCUUCGGAAAGGACCCGUGGAGAUCGACCCUGGGUAGAGAAGAGGGAACUGAGGCACCGAGCCGUUCUGCCAUAAGGGAACAGAAUUGUCCACAGAUUGAAAGAAUCUAUACUUGUGGAAAUGCACUUAAGGAAUUACACUCAAGGAGAUUAAUCUACACCAGGACUUGAUUUAGUUUUGAGAUUCUGGACUUUGAGGUGAUACUAUAAUAGGAUGAGGCUUUGAGGCCCUUCAAAGGGAAAGAAUGCAUUUUACAUGUGGGAAGGACAUGAACCAUUGGCUGCUGGAGGGCAGAUGGGUAGUAGGUAGCCUUUAAGAUGGCUCCUGGUGAUUCUUGCCUCCUGUUCUUCAUACCCUCCACCCAUUGAGCAUGGACUGGAACCAGUAACUCGAUUCUAAUGAGUAGAAGAUAGCAAUGUAAUAGAGUAUCACUUCCAAAGUUAGGUUACAUAGAAACUGUGACUUCUCUUUUGGGCCCCUUCUCUCACUCUUGCUUACUUGCUCUGAGGGUAUGCAACUGCCAUCUUGUAAACUGCCCUGUAGAGAAGCCUACAUGGCAAAGAACUGAUGUCUGCCCAACAGCCAGCAAGGACCUGAGGCCUGCUGAUGGUCACGUGAACGAGCUUAGAAGUGGAGCCUUCCCCAGUGGAUCCUUGAGAUGACUGAAGCCCUGCCCAACCUUGAUUUUGAUUUUGUUAGGAACUGUGAGCACCUAGCAAAGCCACGGCAGAUUUCUGACACACACAAAUUGUGAUAUAAUUUUUUUUUUUUUUUUUUUUUUU